UGCUGUUCAUGUUCAUGCCAGUCAUUUUACGGUAACUGAAAAAACACUGUGUGAAUUCUCUCUUUGUUAUUGUUGUUCUUUUUGUGAGACUAAAGACAUUUAACUUGUAGGAAUUCUGAUUUAGGUAACUGUUUACUAUUUAUCUCCAUUUCUUGGUUCUGUUGGAUAAAACUGUCCUGCUUUACCUGAUCACCUAGAGAUCUGUGUUAUUCUUUUUGUCUGCUGUGAUGGGUUCACACCCAUGGGGCUUAUAAUCCAGUGAAAGUCAAAAGGCUUUUAGUUUGGUCUUUGCUUUUAUAAUCUCUCGUCAGAGCAAAUAAUUAUUUUACAGGCAGUAAAGCAUAAAGAGUUGUAUCAGUGUUAAAAGAUAAAAGACUAUUUUGUGUUUGCAAUGUAAUAUUUUAAUGACUGUUAUUUAACUGCAAUUACUUCUGGUUAUUAUUAGAUAAGAUAAAGAGAAAUGACAAGAGAAGUAAACUCACUUGCAAUACUCUAACUGACUAACUGCUUGAAUAUUAAACUUCAUCAGUGUUUGCAGCACUUCCCAUAGUUUCCUAUAAAGUGUUUUUUCCAUUCUCAAUUAUCAGAUUUGUGGUACUGUAUUCUAAGUCUUAUUGUACUGUUUUAUGCAAUAAAUAAGAUGUUAAUCGUAUGUAAUAAGAACCUGUGACCAGUCCUACUGAAUAUUAAAAUAGAUAUGGUUUGACUUGGAAUACUGAAUUCUUUUUUCUUUGGUUUCUGCAGCUGGCUUUGAAACACUGUAUCCUAUUCUUCCCUUUUACUACAGUCCAUCUCUGAAACAAAAACCAAAUUUUUUAAUUUUGUCCGAGAUGCGCAGACGAGAACCUCUGCCAAGAACCACGGAAAAAAAAUAAAUCAGAGGAAAACUCAGGUUGAGGAGGAGCCUGAAGUAAUGGCAAAACUCAGCUGAAUUCUAAGAGCCAGAAGUUACAGGAUGCACAGAGUCGGUCGUUAAUUUUUUUGUUUUGUUUUCUUAUUUUUUUCUUCCUCAAAACUUAAAAAGAAAGGUAUUGGCAUCUCUUUGGAUAUGUAAUUUGUGUCUUUC
rnacentral:lncRNA from 1 species